GGGGUUUUGGGGGAACUGGAGGGGAAUUCUUUAAAAACUGACUUUUAAUCAGUAGGUCGCUGGUUCGAAUCCAGCUGGGCUCACCA
rnacentral:tRNA from 2 species